ACUCCUACGGGAGGCAGCAGUGGGGAAUAUUGCACAAUGGGCGCAAGCCUGAUGCAGCAACGCCGCGUGAGGGACGACGGCCUUCGGGUUGUAAACUUCUUUUGGCAGGGAAGAAGCGAAAGUGACGGUACCUGCAGAAAAAGCACCGGCUAACUACGUGCCAGCAGCCGCGGUAAUACGUAGGGUGCAAGCGUUGUCCGGAAUUAUUGGGCGUAAAGAGCUCGUAGGCGGUUUGUCGCGUCUGCUGUGAAAACGCGAGGCUCAACCUCGCGCCUGCAGUGGGUACGGGCAGACUAGAGUGUGGUAGGGGAGAUUGGAAUUCCUGGUGUAGCGGUGGAAUGCGCAGAUAUCAGGAGGAACACCGAUGGCGAAGGCAGAUCUCUGGGCCAUUACUGACGCUGAGGAGCGAAAGCGUGGGGAGCGAACAGGAUUAGAUACCCUGGUAGUCCACGCCGUAAACGUUGGGAACUAGAUGUGGGGUCCAUUCCACGGAUUCCGUGUCGCAGCUAACGCAUUAAGUUCCCCGCCUGGGGAGUACGGCCGCAAGGCUAAAACUCAAAGGAAUUGACGGGGGCCCGCACAAGCGGCGGAGCAUGCGGAUUAAUUCGAUGCAACGCGAAGAACCUUACCAAGGCUUGACAUGCACCUGAAAAGGCUGGAAACAGUCUCCUCGCAAGACAGGUGCACAGGUGGUGCAUGGUUGUCGUCAGCUCGUGUCGUGAGAUGUUGGGUUAAGUCCCGCAACGAGCGCAACCCUCGUUCUAUGUUGCCAGCGCGUUAUGGCGGGAACUCAUAGGAGACUGCCGGGGUCAACUCGG
rnacentral:rRNA from 1 species